UACAGAGGUGCCAAGCGUUAGGCGGAAUCACUGGGCUUAAAGCGCGUGUAGGUGGACGGGUAAGUAUCUUGUGAAAUCCCACGGCUCAACCGUGGAACUGCUGGAUAUACUGCUUGUCUUGAGGCACUUAGGGGCAGCUGGAACAAAUGGUGGAGCGGUGAAAUGCGUAGAUAUCAUUUGGAACGCCAACGGAGAAAUCAGGCAGCUGGGGGUGUGCUGACGCUGAGACACGAAAGCCAGGGGAGCGAACGGG
rnacentral:rRNA from 1 species